ACCUACGGGGGGCAGCAGUAGGGAAUUUUCGUCAAUGGGCGCAAGCCUGAACGAGCAAUGCCGCGUGAACGAGGAAGGUCUUCGGAUCGUAAAGUUCUGUUGAAGGGGAAAAAGAGCGGAGAGAGGAAAUGGUCUCCGAUUGAUAUUACCCUUCGAGGAAGUCACGGCUAACUACGUGCCAGCAGCCGCGGUAAUACGUAGGUGGCGAGCGUUAUCCGGAAUGAUUGGGCGUAAAGGGUGCGUAGGCGGCCUGCUAAGUCUGGCGUGAUAGGAACCGGCUCAACCGGUACAGGCUCUGGAAACUG
rnacentral:rRNA from 1 species